rnacentral:ncRNA from 12 species
GCAUCACAGGUCUGUGGCUGAAAGUCGAUGGCAGUCGCAGCCAAAAACGAUCCACGUAACGCAGUCAAAAAGGGCUGCUGAGCAUGGUGCGGUUUAGAAGUAAGUCCUGCCGGGAAAAACCGAGAGAGUGAGUUGUGAGAGGCAAGCGCCGGGUAGCUAAAGCUCCAGCAGGCGAGUGUGGGGUCAAAAAGCCAGGUCAGCUGUAGAUGC